UCGACGCACCAAUCACCAUUGCACUAUUAGACACGUGUCCAAUCAUAGGUCAACCAUAGUCAAAUACAUAUUUCGUUAGACACAAGACCACAGUUUCCUCUCGUACAGAAGAAGCUUCAAUGGCGCCAAAAACUCUCCGAGGAUCGCAUGGAAUGUUUUCAGGGACGAUCGUCUUCUUAGACAAAAACGGCUUGCAGAAGGUUCUCUCGUACCAGUGGCUGGGAAGACGGCUUAAGAUCAGGGGAGAAGGCGUCAGAGGAUUUAUACACUGUAAAAGCAGGUUAGAUGAAGAUGGAAGAGACUAAGCCCCGACCGUGUAUUUCCUAGAAACUGAAAUUGUCUUCUAACAAUUCGGAAGCAGUAAGUUCUGAAAGGGUUGGAGAUUCAAAUGCUUCAAACUUGGUAACGAAGACUGCUACAGGUCUUGGGGACUUCAAAUUAAUAGCGAUUGACGUAAUUUCUGAGGUGGCACCCACGUAGACCGGUGGGUGUAUCCCAAAAUUUGUGGGGGUGCGAAGAGAAGAUGCGUUGAUAAACCCU